rnacentral:lncRNA from 1 species
GGGGUCACCAGGUGUCACCAUGGGAUCACCAGGAGUCACCACGGGAUCACCAGGAGUCACCAUGGGGUCACCAGGAGUCACCAUGGGAUCACCAGGGGUCAUCAUGACAGCACCAGGAGGUCACCAGGGGAUCACCAGGAGUCACCAUGGGAUCACCAGGAAUCACCAUGGGAUCACCAGGAUCUCACUAUGGGAUCACCAGGAGUCACCAUGGCAGCACUGGGAGUCACCAUGGCAGCACCAUAAGGUCACCAUGGGAUCACCAGGAUCUCAUUCACCAUGGGAUCACCAUCAUCUCACCAUGGGAUCACUAGGAUUCACCAUGGGAUCACCAGGAUGUCCCCAUGGGAUCACCAGGAGUCACCAUGGCAGCACUGGGGGUCACCAUGGGAUCACCGGGAAUCACCAUGGGAUCACCAGGAUGUCACCAUGGGGUCACCAGGAGUCACCAUGGGGUCACCAGGAGUCACCAUGGGAUCACCAUCAUCUCACCAUGGGAUCACUAGGAUGUCACCAUGGGAUCACCAGGAGUCACCAUGGAAACACUGGGGGUGACCAUGGGGUCACCAGGAGUCACCAUGGGAUCACCAGGAUGUCCCGAUGGGAUCACCAGGAGUCACCAUGGCAGCACUGGGAGUCACCAUGGCAGCACCAUAAGGUCACCAUGGGAUCACCAGGAUCUCAUUCACCAUGGGAUCACCAUCAUCUCACCAUGGGAUCACCAGGAAUCACCAUGGGAUCACCAGGAGGUCACCAUGGCAGCACUGGGAGUCACCAUGGCAGCACCAUAAGGUCACCAUGGGAUCACCAGGUGUCACCAUGGGAUCACCAGGAUGUCACCAUGGGGUCACCAGGAGGUCAGCAUGGGAUCACCAGGACUCACAAUGGGAUCACUGGGAGUCACCAUGGGAUCACCAGGAGUCACC